GACGAACGCUGGCGGCGUGCUUAACACAUGCAAGUCGAACGGAGAGGCCCUGCUUUUGGGGGGUGCUCGAGUGGCGAACGGGUGAGUAACACGUGAGUAACCUGCCCUUGACUUUGGGAUAACUUCAGGAAACUGGGGCUAAUACCGGAUAGGAGCUCCUGCUGCAUGGUGGGGGUUGGAAAGUUUCGGCGGUUGGGGAUGGACUCGCGGCUUAUCAGCUUGUUGGUGGGGUAGUGGCUUACCAAGGCUUUGACGGGUAGCCGGCCUGAGAGGGUGACCGGCCACAUUGGGACUGAGAUACGGCCCAGACUCCUACGGGAGGCAGCAGUGGGGAAUAUUGCACAAUGGGCGGAAGCCUGAUGCAGCAACGCCGCGUGCGGGAUGACGGCCUUCGGGUUGUAAACCGCUUUCGCCUGUGACGAAGCGUGAGUGACGGUAAUGGGUAAAGAAGCACCGGCUAACUACGUGCCAGCAGCCGCGGUGAUACGUAGGGUGCGAGCGUUGUCCGGAUUUAUUGGGCGUAAAGGGCUCGUAGGUGGUUGAUCGCGUCGGAAGUGUAAUCUUGGGGCUUAACCCUGAGCGUGCUUUCGAUACGGGUUGACUUGAGGAAGGUAGGGGAGAAUGGAAUUCCUGGUGGAGCGGUGGAAUGCGCAGAUAUCAGGAGGAACACCAGUGGCGAAGGCGGUUCUCUGGGCCUUUCCUGACGCUGAGGAGCGAAAGCGUGGGGAGCGAACAGGCUUAGAUACCCUGGUAGUCCACGCUGUAAACGGUGGGUACUAGGUGUGGGGUCCAUUCCACGGGUUCCGUGCCGUAGCUAACGCUUUAAGUACCCCGCCUGGGGAGUACGGCCGCAAGGCUAAAACUCAAAGGAAUUGACGGGGCCCCGCACAAGCGGCGGAGCAUGCGGAUUAAUUCGAUGCAACGCGUAGAACCUUACCUGGGUUUGACAUGGAUCGGGAGCGCUCAGAGAUGGGUGUGCCUCUUUUGGGGUCGGUUCACAGGUGGUGCAUGGCUGUCGUCAGCUCGUGUCGUGAGAUGUUGGGUUAAGUCCCGCAACGAGCGCAACCCUUGUUCACUGUUGCCAGCACGUUAUGGUGGGGACUCAGUGGAGACCGCCGGGGUCAACUCGGAGGAAGGUGGGGAUGACGUCAAGUCAUCAUGCCCCUUAUGUCCAGGGCUUCACGCAUGCUACAAUGGCUGGUACAGAGAGUGGCGAGCCUGUGAGGGUGAGCGAAUCUCGGAAAGCCGGUCUCAGUUCGGAUUGGGGUCUGCAACUCGACCUCAUGAAGUCGGAGUCGCUAGUAAUCGCAGAUCAGCAACGCUGCGGUGAAUACGUUCCCGGG
rnacentral:rRNA from 1 species